rnacentral:rRNA from 1 species
AACGCUGGCGGCAUGCUUUACACAUGCAAGUCGAACGGCAGCACGGGUGCUUGCACCUGGUGGCGAGUGGCGGACGGGUGAGUAAUGCAUCGGAACGUGUCCUGAAGUGGGGGAUAACGCAUCGAAAGAUGUGCUAAUACCGCAUAUUCUCUGAGGAGAAAGCGGGGGAUCUUCGGACCUCGCGCGAUUGGAGCGGCCGAUGUCGGAUUAGCUAGUUGGUGGGGUAAAGGCCCACCAAGGCGACGAUCCGUAGCGGGUCUGAGAGGAUGAUCCGCCACACUGGGACUGAGACACGGCCCAGACUCCUACGGGAGGCAGCAGUGGGGAAUUUUGGACAAUGGGCGCAAGCCUGAUCCAGCCAUGCCGCGUGAGUGAAGAAGGCCUUCGGGUUGUAAAGCUCUUUCGGCCGGGAAGAAAU